rnacentral:rRNA from 1 species
UACGAAGGGGGCUAGCGUUGCUCGGAAUCACUGGGCGUAAAGGGUGCGUAGGCGGGUCUUUAAGUCAGGGGUGAAAUCCUGGAGCUCAACUCCAGAACUGCCUUUGAUACUGAAGAUCUUGAGUUCGGGAGAGGUGAGUGGAACUGCGAGUGUAGAGGUGAAAUUCGUAGAUAUUCGCAAGAACACCAGUGGCGAAGGCGGCUCUCUGGGACGGUACUGACGCUGAGACGCGAAAGCUAGGGGAGCGAAUGGG